UGGGGAAUAUUGCACAAUGGGCGCAAGCCUGAUGCAGCCAUGCCGCGUGUAUGAAGAAGGCCUUCGGGUUGUAAAGUACUUUCAGCGGGGAGGAAGGGAGUAAAGUUAAUACCUUUGCUCAUUGACGUUACCCGCAGAAGAAGCACCGGCUAACUCCGUGCCAGCAGCCGCGGUAAUACGGAGGGUGCAAGCGUUAAUCGGAAUUACUGGGCGUAAAGCGCACGCAGGCGGUUUGUUAAGUCAGAUGUGAAAUCCCCGGGCUCAACCUGGGAACUGCAUCUGAUACUGGCAAGCUUGAGUCUAGUAGAGGGGGGUAGAAUUCCAGGUGUAGCGGUGAAAUGCGUAGAGAUCUGGGGGAAUACCGGUGGCGAAGGCGGCCCCCUGGACGAAGACUGACGCUCAGGUGCGAAAGCGUGGGGAGCAAACAGG
rnacentral:rRNA from 1 species